GUUUGAUCCUGGCUCAGAUUGAACGCUGGCGGCAUGCCUUACACAUGCAAGUCGAACGGUAGAGGGGCAACCCUCGAGAGUGGCGAACGGGUGAGUAACGCAUCGGAACGUGCCCAGUAGUGGGGGAUAGCCCGGCGAAAGCCGGAUUAAUACCGCAUACGACCUAUGGGUGAAAGCGGGGGACCGUAAGGCCUCGCGCUAUUGGAGCGGCCGAUGUCAGAUUAGGUAGUUGGUGGGGUAAAAGCCUACCAAGCCGACGAUCUGUAGCUGGUCUGAGAGGACGACCAGCCACACUGGGACUGAGACACGGCCCAGACUCCUACGGGAGGCAGCAGUGGGGAAUUUUGGACAAUGGGCGCAAGCCUGAUCCAGCCAUGCCGCGUGCGGGAAGAAGGCUGUGU
rnacentral:rRNA from 1 species